GGGGUUGUGAAGAGUUUUGUGAAUGCAAAAGAACUAAAUUAAGACACAAAUGCAAACAGAGAUGCAAACUUAGAUGUAAAAAACUAGUUCAAAGACAGAAUGAAAAUGGUCGGUCAUUAACUCAAUCACUAUGCUUCCAAUCACAGAUUAACACAAUAAAGGAGCUACUCUAACUUCUAAUCCAACACAGUUAACCAACUAAGCGAGGGCUAAUUAUGUUUUCAUAAAAGUGAACUAAGCGAACACAAUGUUAACAUGUAAUCCAAAUUGAACCAUGCAGUUUCAUCAACUAAGCAAAGACUAAACACCAAUUGAGCAACUAAGCGUAUAUCCAAUUGCAAGUGCAAAGAUAGAUUUCACAUUAACCAAGUCAGAGUGGCAAACACAGUCACAGUCCAUGUAUCUCAAGGAAACAAUGCAAUAUCGUUA
rnacentral:lncRNA from 1 species